rnacentral:tRNA from 1 species
ACCUAGCUGGCUCAAUCAGUGGAGCAUGUGACUCUCGAUCUCAGGGCUGUGGGUUUAAGUCCUAUAUUGGGUA